rnacentral:rRNA from 12 species
CUCUUUGCCCUUUCUCUGGUUUAAGCCCGAUCUGGACUGCCUUAGGAGGCAAAGCAGGGUCAGGCCUGUUAGUACUUGGAUGAGGGACCGACUUGGAAUAUCAAGUGCUGAAAGAGU